CCUGCUCAAUGAAACUAAAUAGCCGCUAUUUUAUAGUGCUAAGGUAGCAUAAUCACUUGUCUUCUAAUUAAAGAAUAGUAUGAAAGGAAAAACGAAUUCAUAACUUUAUUUACAAUAAUACAUUAAAUUAAUAUAAAAGUAAAAAAGCUUUUAAGAAAAGAAAAGACGACAAGACCCUUAAGAACUUCACUAAAAGUUGCGCUGGGGCGGCACUUUAUAAAAACUAACACACCAUAAUAAAAACCUAAAAACAUAUAAAACAAGUUACCUAAGGGAUAACAGCACAAUAAAGAUCAAGAGAUCUCAUCCAAAUCUUCGAUUAUGACCUCGAUGUUGAAUUACUACACAACUAAAAGCAAAUUUUUAGAUAGUAAGUCUGUUCGACUUUUUAAAAAGUACAU
rnacentral:rRNA from 1 species